CAGAGGUCACUGUUUGCUGGGAGCUUGUUAGGCACCUGUGCUGUGUCCUCCCAGUAUCCACUCAGCAAAUGGCAUCAUCUCCAUCUUACGGAUGAGGAAACUGAGGCUCAGGUACCAUUCCCAUUCUGCAGACAAGAAAACUGAGGCUCAAAGAGGGUAAGCCGCCUGCCCAGUGCACGCCGGGUAGCUACCGUCAAGGCUGGCCUGAGAUGCCAAGAUCCCUGCACUCUUGGUUAGGCGAUACUCGGACAGAUUCCCCCUCAUUGUGAGCAGAGGGAAACGCAUUGGAAUGCACGCGGUGCGGAGUGACGUUCUCGCAGGGGCGGCCUUGAAUCCAUUCUCCUUGCCUUCUUGUUGAUAUUUUUAUUAUUAUUAUUUUUACAAAAGCCAUCAUCCCACA